UACGUAGGUGGCAAGCGUUGUCCGGAUUUACUGGGCGUAAAGGAUGCGUAGGUGGAUAUGCAAGUCAGAUGUGAAAUACCCGGGCUUAACUCGGGUGCUGCAUUUGAAACUGGGUGUCUAGAGUGCAGGAGAGGUAAGUGGAAUUCCUAGUGUAGCGGUGAAAUGCGUAGAGAUUAGGAAGAACACCAGUGGCGAAGGCGACUUACUGGACUGUAACUGACGCUGAGGCAUGAAAGCGUGGGGAGCAAACAGA
rnacentral:rRNA from 1 species